GUCUAUGGCCAUGCUACCCUGAUCCCAACUGAUUGUGGAAGCUAAGCAGUCGGGCCUGGUAUGUACUUGGAUGGGAGAUCACCUAGGAAGACCAGGUGCUGUAGAUG
rnacentral:rRNA from 1 species